rnacentral:rRNA from 1 species
GAUCUGAAGGAAUACCGAUGGCGAAGGCAGCCACCUGGGCCGACACUGACGCUCAUGUACGAAAGCGUGGGUAGCAAACAGGAUUAGAUACCCUGGUAGUCCACGCCGUAAACAAUGUCUACUAGCAGCUCGCCUCGUUAGAGGGGUUUUGCGCAGCUAACGCGUUAAGUAGACCGCCUGGGGAGUACGGCCGCAAGGUUAAAACUCAAAUGAAUUGACGGGGGCCCGCACAAGCGGUGGAGCAUGUGGUUUAAUUCGAUGCAACGCGAAGAACCUUACCAUCCCUUGACAUCCAGAGAACUUACUAGAGAUAGUUUGGUGCCUUCGGGAACUCUGAGACAGGUGCUGCAUGGCUGUCGUCAGCUCGUGUUGUGAAAUGUUGGGUUAAGUCCCGCAACGAGCGCAACCCUUAUCCUUAGUUGCUAGCAGUUAGGCUGAGAACUCUAAGGAGACUGCCGGUGACAAACCGGAGGAAGGUGGGGACGACGUCAAGUCAUCAUGGCCCUUACGGGAUGGGCUACACACGUGCUACAAUGGCAAGUACAAAGGGUUGCGAACUCGCGAGAGUAAGCGGGUCCCAUAAAGCUUGUCGUAGUCCGGAUUGGAGUCUGCAACUCGACUCCAUGAAGUCGGAAUCGCUAGUAAUCGUAGAUCAGAAUGCUACGGUGAAUACGUUCCCGGGCCUUGUACACUCCGCCCA